UACGUAGGGUGCAAGCGUUAAUCGGAGUUACUGGGCGUAAAGCGUGCGCAGGCGGUUUUGUAAGUCUGUCGUGAAAUCCCCGGGCUCAACCUGGGAAUGGCAAUGGAGACUGCAAGGCUAGAGUUUGGCAGAGGGGGGUAGAAUUCCACGUGUAGCAGUGAAAUGCGUAGAGAUGUGGAGGAACACCGAUGGCGAAGGCAGCCCCCUGGGUCAAAACUGACGCUCAUGCACGAAAGCGUGGGGAGCAAACAGG
rnacentral:rRNA from 1 species